rnacentral:SRP_RNA from 1 species
CCGGGACCGGGCCUGGAGAGCACACCCAGCUCUCCCCUGGGUAACACCCAGGCCGAUGGGUUCGGAGGCCGAAACCCGUACACGGGCUUAGGCACUGGGCCAGGGAGCACCGGUACCUCGAUGAAGACCAGUCCCCUGGGGCGUCCACGCCGUAGCCGAUCAGCCGUAGGGCUGGUUGGUUACGGAACCCGGCGAACCGGGUUAGGCCCGGGAGGGAGCGGCCCUAAGCCGGGGUGGGCGCGUUCAGGGGGUCGCUGGUUGGAGAACGGGCCGGUGAAAACCCUGACCUAGUGCCUAGGUCUGUGUACGGGGUUGGGUCCCGC